UACGUAGGGGGCAAGCGUUGUCCGGAUUUAUUGGGCGUAAAGAGCUCGUAGGUGGUUCGGUAAGUCGGAUGUGAAAUCUCCAGGCUCAACCUGGAGGGGUCAUUCGAUACUGCCGUGACUAGAGGUCGGUAGGGGAGUGUGGAAUUCCUGGUGGAGCGGUGAAAUGCGCAGAUAUCAGGAGGAACACCCGUAGCGAAGGCGGCACUCUGGGCCGAUACUGACACUGAGGAGCGAAGGCCAGGGGAGCAAACGGG
rnacentral:rRNA from 1 species